AUUGACAGAUUGAGAGCUCUUUCUUGAUUUUUCAGGUGGUGGUGCAUGGCCGUUCUUAGUUCGUGGGGUGACUUGUCUGCUUAAUUGCGAUAACGAGCGAGACCUUACUCUGCUAAAUAGCCAGGCUAGCUUUGGCUGGUCGCCGGCUUCUUAGAGAGACUAUCAACUCAAGUUGAUGGAAGUUUGAGGCAAUAACAGGUCUGUGAUGCCCUUAGAUGUUCUGGGCCGCACGCGCGCUACACUGACAGAGCCAACGAGUUCUUCACCUUGUUCGAAAGAAUUGGGUAAUCUUGUUAAACUCUGUCGUGCUGGGGAUAAAGCAUUGCAAUUAUUGCUUUUCAACGAGGAAUGCCUAGUAAGCGCGUGUCAUCAGCAUGCGUUGAUUACGUCCCUGACCUUUGUACACACCGCCCGUCGCUACUACCGAUUGAAUGGCUCAGUGAGGCCUUCGGACUGGCUCGGGGAGGUUGGCAACGACCACCCCAAGCCGGAAAGUUCGUCAAACUCGGUCAUUUARAAGGAAGUAAAAAGUCGUAACAAGGUCUUCCGUAGGUGAACCUGCGGAGGGA
rnacentral:rRNA from 1 species